UUAAGUUCAGCGGGUAUCCCCGCCUGAUCCGAGGCCAAACCUUGUAAAAUUUAGGGGGUCAAUCGGCGACCCGCCCAUUGGACACGCGGAACGAGGGAAAAAAAUUCUUGCUACGCUCGCGGCCAGUAGGGGGCGCCUAAAGGUUUGGGGCCUGACGGGUAUGUCAUGGCCCAACAUCAAGCAAGGCUUGGGGGGGUGUA
rnacentral:misc_RNA from 1 species